CACGUAGUUAGCCGGGGCUUCUUACUCAGGUACCGUCAUUUUCUUCCCUGCUGAUAGAAGUUUACAUACCGAAACACUUCUUCCUUCACGCGGCGUCGCUGCAUCAGGGUUUCCCCCAUUGUGCAAUAUUCCCCACUGCUGCCUCCCGUAGGAGUUUGGGCCGUGUCUCAGUCCCAAUGUGGCCGGUCACCCUCUCAGGUCGGCUACUGAUCGUCGCCUUGGUAGGCCGUUACCCCACAACCAGCUAAUCAGAUGCGGGUCCAUCUCGUACCACCUCAGUUUUUCACACAAUACCAUGCAGUAUCGUGCGCUUAUGCGGUAUUAGCAGUCGUUUCCAACUGUUGUCCCCCUGUACGAGGCAGGUUACCACGCGUACUCACCGUCGCCACUCAGUCACAUUCCCUCCUCGAAGCUUGUCCAUCGCUGCUUCGUUCGACUUGCAUCGUGUUAAGCACGCCGCCAGCGUUCACUCUGAGCAGGAUACAAACUCGU
rnacentral:rRNA from 1 species